rnacentral:rRNA from 1 species
GACGAACCGUGCAAACGUUAUUCGGAAUCACUGGGCAUAAAGGGCGCGUAGGCGGCUUUCUAAGUCAGGGGUGAAAUCCGGCAGCUCAACUGUCGCAGUGCCUUUGAUACUGGAGAGCUCGAGGGAGGUAGGGGUCUGUGGAACUUCCGGUGGAGCGGUGAAAUGCGUUGAUAUCGUUUGGAACGCCAAAGGUGAAAACAGACAGCUGGGAGUGUGCUGACGCUGAGACACGAAAGCCAGGGGAGCGAACGGG